rnacentral:tmRNA from 1 species
GGGGGCGACACGGUUUCGACGGAAGCUGUCGCGGCCCGAAGGCAUGCCGGGCGCCACCUGCCCGCUAUCGGGUGGAACAACACAACUGGCAACUCACAGUUGGCUCUCGCUGCCUAAUUAAACCUAGGUAGCGCGUCUCCUUCCGCGUCGCCUGCGCGCGGGAGAUGAGGCGUCACACAGUAGGCUGGCUGGUGCCUUUCGGUCCGUAAGGCGCCGGCGAGAUUAUCGGACUAGCCGGCGGCGUGUCUUGCCCGCUCUAAGCGUCGUAGGCGAAAACGUGAGCGGUCCGCAAGGGCCGUUCGCACCGGGAACGGGCUACGCAUGUAGUCUUCGGGUGGCAAGGCUUUUCGGACGGGGGUUCGACUCCCCCCGCCUCCACCA